rnacentral:rRNA from 1 species
AUUGAACGCUGGCGGCAUGCCUUACACAUGCAAGUCAAACGGUAACAGGUCUUCGGAUGCUGACGAGUGGCGAACGGGUGAGUAAUACAUCGGAACGUGCCUAGUAGUGGGGGAUAACCACUCGAAAGAGUGGCUAAUACCGCAUGAGAUCUACGGAUGAAAGCAGGGGAUCGCAAGACCUUGUGCUACUAGAGCGGCCGAUGGCAGAUUAGGUAGUUGGUGGGAUAAAAGCUUACCAAGCCGACGAUCUGUAGCUGGUCUGAGAGGACGAUCAGCCACACUGGGACUGAGAAACGGCCCAGACUCCUACGGGAGGCAGCAGUGGGGAAUUUUGGACAAUGGGCGCAAGCCUGAUCCAGCAAUGCCGCGUGCAGGAUGAAGGCCUUCGGGUUGUAAACUGCUUUUGUACGGAACGAAAAGCCCCGGGUUAAUACCCUGGGGUCAUGACGGUACCGUAAGAAUAAGCACCGGCUAACUACGUGCCAGCCGCCGCCGUAA